GUCAGGUUGCCACCCAGCAUGAGCGGCCCGCAGAGCCAGCUCUGCAGUUGGAACACAGGAGUGACCCCGUGAGUGUCCCCAACUGAGAUGUGCUGGAGCAGAACUGCUUGGAUUUCUGGGGGUUUUUUCCAGUACCGGGAAUUGAACUCAGGACCUUGUGCUUGCCAGGCAGGUGCAGUGCCACUGAGCUAAAUCCCAGGCCCUUUUGUUUUGUUUUUUAAGGCAGUGUCUCAGUAGAUUGCCCAGGUUGGCCUCAAACUCACGACCCUCUGGGCUCAGCCUCCAGAGUGCUGGCUUCAGGCUGUGACCAGCACAGGAAGCUGGUGUAUGCUCAACCUUGAGACAGGGUGCCCAGGCUCAAACAUGAAACCCUGCAUGGUUCACAUGCACUGGUACACACGCCAGGAGGUGCUUUACACAGUCUCCGUGGUGGCCCGCGUCUCACUGCAGCCUGCCCCUUAAGGUGGCUGAGCUGUCUGGCACAUGCAAAGGUCCUGAGGUGCCUCUGAAGAACUAGCAGAUGUUGCAUGUUGUGAGAUUGGAGAAGGCGCAGAGGUGAGAAAGGCCAGAGAUCGGGGUGAGCGGGCAUGGAAACUAUCCCGGGACCCACGGGCCGCCCCUGGAGGCUUCAGAGCCAAGCAUGAUGAGGUCAGAUUCGUGUUUUGGCAAAUAUCUCUUGAGUGGCUGCUGGGAGGGUCAGUGAGGAGGGCAGGGAGGAAGGGAGGUCAGCAGGAGGUUGUUGGUGUAAUCCACAGGGUGGCCCGGCUGUGGGCUGGGGAGGUCCCGGCGCUGGAGAAAAGUGGGGGGAGGUGGGCGGCAGAGAACUCUCGGGGCUGCUGGGAAGACACUGGGACAUCCGGGUGCUCCUCAAAGCCAGCGCUCGCGGACUUGCGGACUUGGGUUUCUUGGGUUUCGUG
rnacentral:lncRNA from 1 species